CGGUGUGUCUUUUCGUUUAAUUGACACGUUUAUAAUGUUUUAAUAAAUAAUACAGCUCACUACUGUACGAUUGUAGGUUCACAGUUUGAACACUGACUAAUUGAUUAUCACGAAAAGUUAUAUUGUUCAACAAAUAUGUUUUGAUUGCAUAUCGAUCAUUGAAAUUAAUUAGACAAACCGGUUUUGACAGGUAAUAAUUAAUGUAAUUAAGAGUAUUGGGACUUCAUAAUAAGACCGGAAUUCGGAAUACACAGGGUCCGGUUUACAAAGGGUAUUUUAACAAAGACUUUGAAUGGAAAAAUAUGGGACUUUCAUUUUCGGCCGGAAUGGACAGGAAA
rnacentral:lncRNA from 1 species